CUGUCUAGAAUGUUGUGCCUGGUUUGGGUCUUACAGUUUAAGAAGGACCAGACUGUCUAAGGAAUAGGGCUCAAAAUAACUCAAAAAACUGAGAAUAUUUAGUCACCCUUUAACUGAAUGUUAACUGAGGUUCAAACUUCUGAUGUUAUUCUCAAUCAGAUUUUAGCAUUUGUAUCAGUUGUUCAUUCUUUAGCCAUUAUUUCUAGAAAAUUUCCUAAAAUGAUUUUAUGUAAACACUAUCCUCAGGAGAGUUUAAAAAGAAUUUUAUACAGAGAGAUGUGAAUACCUAAAAAAAAUUUGCAUUUUAAAGAAGUAAAAACAUUUAGGAUCUUAUCAGAUUGACAGCAGGAGACUCGAGCUGUACAUCUGUUACAGCUCUGACACUCUUCUCUCAACAGCCAAAUGAUCUUACUAGAGAGGCUUUGGAUUUUCAAACUCUUCUGCUUUUCCGAGAUGAAAAAAAUAUGCAGUGUGCUAUUUGGUUUUUGUUUUAUUUCAUUCUUCCCAUUUAUGCAUUUAUUCAUUUUGCAUUCAUGCUGCUGUUUGAUAAAUAUAGAGCACUUGGCAAUUUUGUGAGCUAUACAAUGACCAACAAGCUACAGACUUUGCAUUAAAGAGGACUGUAAUCUCAUGAAGAAGAAAGCAAGUCAUAGAUUGUCAACCGCCCCUUUCUCCCAUCCUCAAUGUACCACUCUGAUUUUCUGGUUAUAAUUUUGAAGUUUUCUUCAAUGCAGAAGUCUAUUACUUUUCAUCAGUUUGAAUGAGAUCUGAAAAUAAACUGUGGACUGGAAGAGAAUAAGGUAGGGAUUUUGCUUUGAAUCAUUAUUGUAUUCCUAUUUAGUGGGUUUCACAUGUUAAAUUCAAAUAAUGAUAAUUUUCUAGGGCUGAAGAGUCAUUUCUCUCUGAGGACAGAUGCCUGAAAGCAAAAAUCAUCCUGAAAUAAUUUCUCAAAUAAAUCCAAGAUAAGCCUGUUUGGCUAUAAGGGAGUACUUCAGAGCUUUAUAAAAUGUGAAAGUUUAAACACUAAAGAAAAUUUAUUGUUUAAAAUUGUUAAAAUUACAUACUCUGUAUACUUUGUAGCAAUAAAACUCUUUCCACCACAGGUAAUUUACGAAUGCUGUUUCAAGGUGAACAAAUCAUUAUGUUUUUUUUUUCUUUUAUGUGAAGCUCUAAUUGAAAAUUAAUAAUCAUUAUAUUAAAAUAUGGAUUUUCUAUUGGUAUUACUUUUCAGGUGUCACAGAUUUCAUCUCUAUAAAUGUAAAGCUCUGGAAUAAAAUAAAAAUAAUAAAUAGAAACUUCCAUCCUGCUU